AUUGAACGCUGGCGGUAGGCCUAACACAUGCAAGUCGAACGCGAAAGUCCUUCGGGAUGAGUAGAGUGGCGGACGGGUGAGUAACGCGUAGGAAUCUAUCCUGUAGUGGGGGAUAACGUUUCGAAAGGAACGCUAAUACCGCAUACGCCCCACGGGGGAAAGCGGGGGAUCUCCGGACCUCGUGCUAUAGGAGGAGCCUGCGUCGGAUUAGCUAGUUGGUGAGGUAAAGGCUCACCAAGGCGACGAUCCGUAGCUGGUCUGAGAGGAUGAUCAGCCACACCGGAACUGAGACACGGUCCGGACUCCUACGGGAGGCAGCAGUGGGGAAUAUUGCGCAAUGGGCGAAAGCCUGACGCAGCCAUACCGCGUGUGUGAAGAAGGCCUUCGGGUUGUAAAGCACUUUCAGUGGGGAGGAAAAGCUGGUGGCUAAUAUCCAUCGGCCGUGACGCUACCCACAGAAGAAGCACCGGCUAAUUCCGUGCCAGCCGCCGCGGUAAUAC
rnacentral:rRNA from 1 species